CGCGCGGGGAUGCGGGCGGGGUCCCGUGGGCGCGCGAGACUCGCGGCCGGCUUUGCGCAUGUGCGGGUCCUGCGCGCGCGUGCGCGCGCCCCUCCCCCCGGAAACGAAAGAUAACUUCUACCAAAGACUUGAAAUGUAAAAUAAUCCAUUUCUUUAAGUCAUUUGUGUCUACUUUGAGAUAACUGCAGUUUGUAGUGUCUAAUCCCAAAGCUUCUCUUCCCACUACAGCUGCAUUCUGUUAUUUUCCGUUCCUGUUCUCCCCAAAGGGUAACAAUUCUCUGGCUCAAAUUUAAAAACCCUUGAUAUGGAUAUUCACUUGGAAUUGUCUGUGCUGGCACCUACGGAGCCGCAUGUAAGACUUACUGGAAACAACCCAGUUAGUCAUUCUCGCUAAACCAUCCCGUGCCUGGUGAAAAGUGUGCAAGUCUGUACUGAAGUUCAAGGAUAAGGAGGAAAGGUCAGCCCGUUCUUCAGGGCUUCCCUGCAAGUGGAUGCUCUUCAGGAUCAGAGCCUUAAGGAACUGCCUUUCUCCAACGAUCUGCCCUUCAAUGUUUUCCUCGCAGCCCAUAAAAGCUGCUCUCCCAUAGUCGAUCAUGCUCAUUUCAACAUCUGUGCCUCUAAGUAUAAAGAAUUCCUUUCCCCAUUCCAACAAGGAAAAAUAAAUUCUUCAUGGCAAGAUCAAGUCCAUGCAGUCUCUAAGCUCUCAGCCCACAGCUGAUGUUUACAUCGCUGCCUUUUCUGGGGAGAACAUCCCUGGAAGUGGAUGACAACUAGCCUGUUCAGCUCAGGGCCAUACUGAGCAGGAGUGAGCACAAGGCCUCUCUGGUGGAACAUCUCAAAGCUCUUGGCACGUGGCAACAGAGUGAGAUUUGCUGAGGCCACAUGGAAAGGGACAGAGGAUUCAUAUUAGUGUCUUACCAUUUUGUUUUGUUUUUCUGUUUCCAUCCUUGAGGAGGAAUAAAGGAUCUUCAAGGUACCUCCUCACUGGGUGCCAUAUACCCCUCCAGUGCCUGCUCAAGCCAUUUGCAAAUCUUUUCUUCUCACACCCCUGCCCUUUUUUCACUGUUCGUCCCCCAUAGUCAGUGAUGUGUUUUUCACAUUGUUUCUUUCUCUGUCCUUCUCUCACCUUGAGUUGCUUGGUGGCUGGGUUAGGACCAGCCUGGGGCCCAGAAAGAGAAGGCCAUUUAGGGACUUCUCUGAGCAGCCUUGGCUGUAACUAAGAUGGCCCCAUCCCUGUGCUGUCUUAUGCCUUCUCUUAUGGUCUGUUGGAAACCCUGGAAGGCAAGAACUGGCUGUAAAACAGUGACACAGCGACCAGAGGUGAACCUCACCUCUCACACAGUCCAGGCAGGCUGGUAGAGGUUGCUCAAAGCAGAUGCAGAUAAGAUCAAAUUAUCUUCUCCGUCCUUCCAGAUCAGUGGUCCCAGGCCAUUUCCCUGGCCUCUCUCUGUUGCAUCCUAUCAUUUUUACACCCUUGACUUGGCAGUCCUGUUCCUGAUACACACGAGCACACGUGGCAGAAGGUUCAGCCUAUGAAUCAAUAGCUUUCCUCACACCCAAAGGGACGUGUGUUCCUGACCCCUGGGACUCAGGAUGAACCCUUGGGACCCAGGAUAAGCCCCUCUGGUGCAUUAGUUUUAUGGCUUGAUCCACCAAAUCAACUGGAGCUUUUUCCCUCUGAAAAGCAAAAGGCUCCGAUCUCUCUGUACAAAGAUUUGAAUCUGUAAUUAAUCAUAAUCUGUAACAUAUGAAGCAGAGCUCUGGUAGCCUUCUACUAGCCUUUUAUUAUUAAUCCAAUAAAAGUAUCACAUAUAAUUUGUCUGUCUUAUUGAGAGCUAAUAUUUGGCUUGUGGUUAUUUCCUGUAAUCUGAUGUCAGAGGAGCCCUCAGUGUGAAAUUCAUGUUCUUUCUCCAGCAUGCCAGCAGCAGGUAUGGGCAGAUAUGAAUGUCUUAUGGCCAUAUCGAUCAUCAUCGUUGGUCUACUCUGGUCUCCAAUCGGGAGGUCUGGAGACACACUAUCUCUAACACUGCUGCUUCUUUUGAGAAUGCACGCAGGAUCACUCUCGAGGAGUGUAUUAGGGAGGGUUCGAGACAUACUGAAACUUGAAAACCCAGACACCGUUGGAACGCAGUAACGCAAAUAUUUAUUACAAAAGGUGGCUAACAAAAAAGAAACGGGCACUCGGGAGAAGGGGAAAACUAAAGAGGAAAGUACGACACCCUACUCACCUAGGUGUCAUUUAUGAGAUGAUCUUACCCACUCCGAAGACUAUAAAGCCCUCUGCAGCAGCAGCGUUUUCCAGAGGGUUAGCAGGCUCCCACGACAGCAGGUGUCCCCGCUAAAGGCAAUUUGAUCCUUCAUGUAGAGCAAGCGAACCUGAACCAAAAAACCUGUCUGCUUUUUAUACAGUCAAUGAGCACCUCUGCUCGGGAAUGUGUGGCCAGCACUGCCCCGCCAGAGGCUCUCAAUCCCACCCUCUUAGUAAUAUAACUUCAUCCCUUCAGUGCAUGCGUGAGAAUUUUGGAAAUUCCCUAACGCAUGUGCAGUCUGCUUUGGGGGCCUUUUCUAAUUGAGUCGAGGGUUGAGCCUUCCUCCUCUCUUCCUCACCUUCUCCUUUAAAUGCCCUUGGCAAACAAUGAACCAAUAGUAGAACACCAAUUAAAAUGGUUUAUACAGAAGUUCUCCCUACAAGGACGAAUUCUCUGUUUUAUCAGUGAACUACUACAGGUGGCUGGGGCCAAACACAGACCAAAAACUAUCAACAUUCUCACUACAAGGAGAAAAGACAAUGUAGAGAGAGCCGUAUCUUGUUGAUACCACCUAAGGAGUCCUUCCACUGUGCCUUUUGCAACUGGACCUGUCUAUCUCACACUGGUCUUUUUAGCCACCGGUUGCGCUUGUAGCAAGUGUGAGUAGAGUCCUUCCCAAAUCUUCGUUCGCGAAGCCCGGCCACGAUGAUGACGAUGAUGAUGAAAACGGUCUAAGUUAUGCGUAUCUUGAAUUUGUUAUGUCCCAGCUGUUUGUCGCAAGACUGGUGUCUCCAGAGGCUACUAUCAAGUGUCUGACUGUUUCUGUUAUGCUUCCCUCUCCCAUCACCUUGUCCAUAUCACAUCACACUCCGGUCACUGACUUCUGGGCUUUGGACCAAAAUGGGACCCCUGACACAUAUGUAGAGAACUGCUGAACUGACUGUCACUGUGCAUUAGUGGCUCAGAUGGGACUUUUUUCCACUGUUUCUUUUGCAAAAUGUGAGGGAAUGUCCUCGUAUGUCUUGUAGGUCCCCUCUGGGCAUAGUCUUUGAAGUGCCCAGUCCAGGACAGCAGCCAAGCAUGGCUUCAUGGGGGCUGUCCUGGCUCUCAGGCUCUUCCUCUCUCUCCUGCAAAUGGAUUCAUUCCCCCAUGAUACCUCAAUUUAAGCAGGGGCUCCCAGCAUGGGGCUGAGUGGGUACAGAUAGAGCUCAUACAUACAGGGAGAAAUGGAUAUUCUUGGGCUGUGAAAGUGCUUAUUCUUCUCACCAGUAGCACUGGAUGAGGUUACGUGGACUAUUGCAUCUGCUGCCUGGUCACAGACUCUCUGUUUCAGGUGGAGAUCCUGCCUGCUCCUGAGGAAGGUCAGAAGAGGAAUGCCAUCCAAUCUGUGCCCAGAAAUAGCAACAAUUACACUCUGAACCCAAAUUUCUCAUAUUAUUCAAUUUGAGGACUGUAUAGAAGGGCUGUAAUUUGAGCUUAUCUUAUGUAUUUUUAUAAAAAUCAGUUGAUCUAUGUACAUGGAGGGUCUAGAUCCAGCUGGCACACUGCUGUGUUAAUAACAUUGUGCUGGUUUGGACUGAGAUGGAGUUAAUUUUCCUCCCAGUAGCUAGUAUGGGGCUGUGUUUGGGAUCUGUGCUGAAAAAAGUCCUGAUAACCCAGGGUUGUUUUAGUUCCUGAUGAGCAGGGCUGACACAAUCAGGGGCUGUUCUGCUCCUCACCAGCAAGGUGGCUGGCAGAGCAGUUGAGGGGACACAGCUGGGACAGCUGACCCCAGGGAUAUAUUCCAGACCAUAAUGGAGUCAUUCUUACAUGUAAAGGCGGGGAAGAAGGAAGAGGGGGGGAUGUUUUGAGUGAUGAUGUUUGUUUGCCCAAGUCACUGUUACUGUGAUGGAGCCCAGCUGUCCUGGGUAUAGCUGAGCACCUGCCUGCCAUGGGAAGAGGGGAAUAAAUUCCUUGGUUUGCUUUGCCUGUGUGUGCAGCGGUCCACAACACUCCUUUUUGGUAUACAGUGUGGGGCUCAAAGGGUUCAAGACAACGACAAAUUUGAUUGGAGUGUGCCAGAUGGAAUUUAUAGCUGUUAGUUCUGUUUAGCUAUUAAUUGACAGCUCCUGUGCUUUCCACGGGGCUCAACUCUGUCGAUUGAAGCCUGGUUCUUGUUAGUGGCAGCUUUCAGCUUUCUCUACUCACUUUGGUGCUGAUCACCGCUCUGUGCUGUGUCUGGGAACACCCUCGUAACAGCCAUGGCGAUGGGUCUGGACUGCGGGUGGCCAGGGCGCUACCCAUGUGCUGUGUCUGUGCUGCUACACUAGACAGGCUGGGACUCCAGUGUGAGCUCCAGCUGAAGGGACUGGAGCUGGGGAUGAGUCCGCGUGGGAGCAGGACACCCUGAAGCAUCUGUGGCCAUAGAUAAGUCCAGGCCAGAGGAGGUAUAUCUCCAAGUGUCUGGCUGUGGUCAUGUCCAUCCCACAGCAGCUGUACCUUUGAAGCAUUUGUGGCCCAAGGAUAGGUCUAUGCUGGAAAAGGUACAUCUCAGAGCAUCUGUGGCUGUGGGAUAAAUCCAUGCUGCAGCAGAUACACCUUGAAGCAUCAGUGGCCAUGCACAAGGUCAUGCUGGAGCACCUGAAAGUAUGUGGCCGUGGAUAAGCACACACAGAGCAGGUACGCUCCUGAAGGGACUGAAGGCACGGUUAAGGCCAUGUUGGAGCAGGGUCACUCCCAGUGGGACUAUGGCUAUGGGUAAGGUCACACUGGAGCAGAGACACACUGUGUCUCUGAAGGCAUUGUGGUCCCUGGAUGAGGCCACGCUGGAGCAGGUGCACCUCAUAGUGACUGUAGCUGUGGAUAAGUCUAAGCCACAGCAGGUAUAUCUCUGGAGAGACUGUGGCUCGUGGAUAAGGCUCCACUUAGAGCAGGUACACCCCUAAGAGACUGCAGUCUGUGAUUAAAUCCAAGCCAGAGCAGGGGCAGGGGAGGAAGGAGGAGUUCAUUGCAAUGUUAAACCUGAUGGUCUGGUCCAAAGGGACGAGGGGUGGAAGUUGUAAUGGAAAUACCUUUAAAUUGUUGUAGCCCAUUAUUUGAGAUUCAUGUUAGGGAAUUACCAUAGCAGGAAGCACCCAAACCUGUAGAGAAGCUGUACAAGAGGAAGUGCCACUGCAGCAGUGACCUGACCUGAGCUAGCUUUGAUGCCCAGUAACUCCACACAACACAGCACCUUUCCUGCCCUGAGUAACCACCAGAACAGAUAGAGCCCAAAGUCAUGAACUCAAUGAACUCAAUGGUCACUUUGUGAAUAUUUGUGGACAUUUUACGGGCACUUUACACAGUGGACUAGGGCACUUGUAUUUUACACAUAGACUAGGGGAAUGAUAUCUGUGUAUUAUAUCAGAGAUUGGGAAGGUGGCUGAUGAUUAAUGAGGUUGUGUGAAUAGUGUGGGACCUGAGCAUCACAUAAAUGGUAUGGAAUGUGCUGGUUUAGGCUGGGAUGGAGUUAAUUUUCUUCACAGUACCUGGUAUGGGGCUAUGUUUUGGAUUUGUGCUGAAAACAGUCCUGAUAACAGGGAUGUUUUAGUUCCUGCUGAGCAGGGCUGAUAUAAUCAAGGCCUGCUCUGCUCCUCACCCCGCCAGUGAGUAGCUUGAGGAGAGACACUGCUGCGAUGACUGACCCCAGGUAUAUUCCAGACCAUCUAUGGUCUGGAAUAGUAUAAAAACUAUAAACAGUAUAAAAAGUGGGGGGAAGAAGGAAAGGGGGGGUAUUUGUAGUGAUGGUGUUUGCCUUCCCGGGUCAACCUUACCAUGAUGGAACCUGACUGUCCUGGGGAUGGCUGAACACCUGCCUGCCCCUGGGAAGUGGGGAAUGAAUUCCUUGUUUUGCUUUGCUUGCGUGUUCAGCUUUUGCUUUCCCUUUUUUUCAUGGGAUAAAAUCCACAAGUUUUCUCACUUUAGAUUCUCUCCCCUGUCCCACUGGGGUGAGCAAGUGUCUGUGCAGGGCUGAGGUUAAACCGUAUCACAGAACGCAUGGGAAACCUUUGUCUGAGCUUAGAAACUUCUGAUCUGGGAUGUCUCCAAGCCCAAAUCCCCAGCCUCUGCUGCCUUAUGAAAAUGUAAAAGAUGAGUGAUUAUUUUCAUAUGCCUGCUAUGCAGGUCUUCUAGAUACCAAUAUCUGGUAGAGCAGGGCAAGAAUUCCCAGCUUUUAUUUUUUUUUUUUUUUAAGAAUUCUCCUGAUGAAAAUCACAGAUCUGAUUUUGUCUCCCCAGGCAGAGCUGGUACAGGGGAUGUUCACAUGGACUUUAGUUAGGCUGGCCACAGGGCUGGUGGUGAUCUUCCACACUGGGAAAUUGUAAUGAAAUAAUUUUCUUUCCCUGGCAUUUUCAUUUUAAAAAGAUGUUGGGUUUUUGUUCCCUUUUCUGCCAGCCUUCUUUCUGUGCUUCCUGCCACAUUAUUUAGCGAUUGUGCUGGCUGCCCAGCAGAGGGGUGUAGAAACCAGCACAGGCACCAAACCUGCUACCAUUCCACCCAGUUCCACAUCCCCAUUGCCCCCAGUUCCCAUCAUUGUCCCUGCACGUGCUGGAGCCGGGGACCCGGGCAUGGGCAGGACCAGAGGGAGGCAGGCAAGGAGGUGAUUGAGGGAGUGAGAAGAAGCCACCCAAGAGCUGUCAGUGCCAUCCCAGUGCACAGCCCUACCCUGGGUACACAAGGUACACAAUGCUGUGCCUUGCCCAUCACUCCAGAAACAGUCAGCACAUGAACACAAUGCCAGCGUGGCAUUGCCAGCACCAGGGUUUCUGGCCUGGAGCGUGAGGUGAAGGAACACCCAGGAGUGGCCUGCUGCUGGGUUGUUACAGGGGCUUCCAGCCUUUCCUGGAUUUAUUUGCCUGGAGUGUUGUGGGCUGGAUGCCCUCAGGAGCUGAGAAAGUUACCAUCUCUGUCCACAUCCAGCACAAGGCAGGGUGUGUGGUAUCCCUUGGGAGCUCCUUUGACCUCACCAGUGACAGGAACAGGUCGUGCAUGGUAACUCCUCUCUCAUCCUCUCCUCUCCACCUUUGCAGGCUGCUCUGCCACUCAGCCAGCUGCCCAGGAUGUGGUUUUUCUAAUGAGACAGUUUGGGGUCUUGAGAUUAGGUCCAAAUUUCCUUCCCUCCAUCUGCUUCCCAGCCUUUGUCCAUCUGUUCUUGGUUUGCAUCAGGCAUGGCUGACAUUUCUCACUGUGGGUGGGUCCUGGGCAGUGCAGCACAAGGAGCCCCAGGGAUGCCCCGAUCAGCGUUCACUGCCUGUCCCUGACACCUACCAGACCCAUGGCCAGGAUGACCAUCAGUACCCAGCCACUGCUACACAGGCAGGGGCUGCCAACACCAGCCCUGCCUGUCCCCAUUCCUGGGUGUCCUGCUCUCCCAGCCCUCCAAUGCCAGCCACAGGUGUAGGAAAUCUCAGGAUGGGGAGGGCCUGGUAUAGGCACAGGUUGGCAGGUGGGUGUGGAUGGGACUCCAGAACCUCAAGUCUGGUCUGAGGAUGGUGAUUUGUUGAGUCCCUUUGCAUUCUAUCCUGGGGGGCUUCUAUCCCCUUCUCUGGCUACUCUCCUUGCCCUGGGGUUCAGCACUUUUUAUUCUGAAUAAAACCCAGAAAUUCUCUGAACUCCAGGAGCUAGAUGAGUGGAGGGACUUUGUGACACUGCAGCAGAAGUGUUGAGUCGUUAAACUCAUGUCCUAGAAUAUGCUCUUUGCAUUAAGGAAAUUAAUCACAGAUUUAUUUUUUCUUUUAGGAAAAACUCUAAUUUCUGUGAAUCCCUCUUAUGAGUCCUUUUUUGUGCUGCCCACAAUACUUGGCCUUCUUGCCUUGGGCUGAAACUUAUUUAGCAUUAAAAAUGCCACUCCCAACAGUAUUAAUAACACCUAAACCCUUAUGAGCUGGAGAUCCAAAGAGCUGAUCGCCUCUCUGGGAGGAGAUCAAAGGCUGAUCUCCUCUCUGAAGCAGCCUAUCAGUCCUCCUUCCCAACCAUGGGGAAGGGGCAAAGUUUGCAGCAAGGGUGGCUGGAAUAAAAAUAUUUCUGGAAGGAAGUGGAGGGUUAAGGCUUGUCAGUAGGAUGGCUGACCUGCUAGUGCAGCUGUCCAUGGAACCAUAGAGCCAUUGAGGUUGGAAAAGACCUUUGAGGUUAUCAAACCUCAGCCAUUAAUCCAGUGCCAAGUCAUGAAGCUGGUGGGAUGUGGAGGUUGUGCCCAUGCCCUUGGCUCUUGAUGAGCUGUGCUGGCCUGGUUGGUGGAAGGCUCUUCUGGCAAGGAUUUCAGCUAGAACACCACAAUGAAGCCAAGCAGGAGGGUGGGAGCCUGCUGUCAGAAGCUCUGGAGGAGCCCCAGCUCCAGCAGAUCUGGUGAGCAGAGCAGAGGUGAGGGCAAAAGCCAUCAGGAGCUGUGAUGGUGGUGGAUGACAUGAAAACACCCUCUGGGACAGUGUUGGGGGACACAUGGAGGCAUCUGGCACAUGAGAGUGGACUGGGCUUAGUAAUGGCUUGUAGGCAGUGACCCUUCACUGCCCAGGAAGGGGAAAAGUAAUUCAUUCACCGUGGUAGGACCUCAGAGCAUUUCUGUGCAGUCAAGAAAGCUGCUAGCCAGUGCUCAGCUGCUUAUCCUGAACACCAAACAUAUAAUGAAUUAUGUCCUUUCAUGCACAUUGCAAGGAUAAACAUUAUCAAAUAAUUUAUUCUUAGAUCUUUGUACAUGAGCAGAGAUAGAGAUUUAUUCUCAGCAGUGCAAACUGCUUUCCACAAAGGUUAUAUCUUUGGGCUUUGACUUUGGAUGCAUCGAGUUUAUUUUUCUCUGCCACAGCUUUAUGUGAUCAGACUUCAGAAUUAACCUGGUAAAUCCAGCAGAAUAUCUCUGGGCUGUGCCAUGUGUGAAAGAGAGAUUUAAUAGCACACAGAACAGAAAGGAAGAAUGGCCCUGCUGGAGGUAACUGCUGGCACACCUGAGCUGUCUUUUGGGUUGAGUUUACCUGGGAUGGAAGGUGCUACUGAAAUGAGAACACUUUUGUACCUUUUAAAUGACACAGAGCAGGAGAUCAGCCCAUUAGUGGACUUUUCAAGAAAGGGUAACCUCUGUAAGAAUAGUUUGUUAAUUUGCUCCUCCCCUGAUUUUACUGAGUUGAUUGUUUUUUAAUUUCCUUCUAUUUUGAAGGCAUUACAGAUGCUCACAUGAAGAAAAAGUUUGCAUUCACGGCUUAAUUUUAACCUUUUCCCACAACUUGCCGACAAGCUUGUUUAUGAAAAUGGUUUAGUUUUCACUGAGUACAAACAUAGGUAAAAGAUUGUUUGGGUGUCAUUUAUUAAGCUAAAUAUUUAAUUUUUUUUUAACAGUAAAACCUAAAAUGCAUCCAUAGAAAAGUAAAAACCAUGGCUGUAGCAUUUGCCAAGUGAUAUGAAAACAUUGGAACUGGCUGCAUUCUUGGCACCUGGAUGUUGCCUGGUUCAGCAGUGCAGAGGAUUGCCCAGGCUCCUGGGGCCACAGGCAGCAGAUCUGUGGGUUUCAGCUGAGGUGUGAUGUGGAUCUAAGAUUUUCCAUGAGAUGUCACAGAGGACUUUGAAAGACUCUUUCUAUUGCUAUGGUGACCUCACCAUCUCUUGUAUAUGUGAUGCUGUGGGUGAUGUGCAGGGAUUUCCCACUGCAUCCAAUCUUGCUACAACAGGGAGCUGUUGGCAGCUGGGCUGAACCUUGGAGCAGGAUAUCCCCCAGCCUCUCAGUCAGGGCAUUGCCUUGGUGAUGAUCACGAGAGCCCCAGGGAAUGCCUUAUUACCAGGGGCAGACACAACCUUUUUAAGGAGCCAGUGUCUGUAUCAGGGAAUUGCCCCACUGGCCAUGUCUGAAAGCUGCUCCAGUGGCUUCCACCUCUUCAUAGCAGUCCUUGGGAAUGAAGCCUUGAGAUUUAGGUGUAACUUGGUCAGCUGAAUCUGGGCCUUCAAGUCCUUACAGCAAGUCUGACCUCCCAGGAGGCACCUAAACUUGUCCUAGGCCAGACCUUAGUGAAGCCCUGGCUUACAGUCCCUGUAAAAAACACACGGCACAGGGAGAUACAGUGGGGGGUAGACAGAGAUGUGCAGAGAAAAGCAGAGUGCACAAGGUGAAAAGUGAUGGCAUUAAAUCUAAAAACACAUUAAACUGCCUGUAGGGACAGUGGGGAAGAAAAACUGGUUUUAGGCAAUACAGACACUGGAGUGGGGUGUCUGCAAGUCAGCCCUGCACUCCUGUGUCCACACAGGGAGAGCUCAGGGAAGGCGAGUCAGAAACUGGCUUGGACCCCACGUGCUGUGUGUCCUCUCAGGGAUAAGAGAUCCUUGAAGUGUGCACAGGGGUGAAGUUCAGCCCAGAGGUGACAGCUGACACACAGAACACCUCACUCAGCCAUGUGAAGGAGCAACCAGCCUGUCUGCGUGCAAUUACCGGUGGCCUCCCUUGCAAAUCCUCUGCUCCUGGGUAUCAAUCUGGAGACAUCAGCACCUUUUAAUAAUGCUGGAGUGCCGGGAGGGGAUGAGAAAUAGAUUGUUUAACCUGCUUCUCUCUAAGUGUAGCAGUUCAAUGAAGCUCUUUCCUCAGGGGUGAGCACCCACAUGACACAUCACAGACUGCCACCCCUGGGACCUGGCAGUGCCCGGGUGUGGCGCUGGGCUGUAGGCAGCUCCCAACCAUCCCAUGGGCUCUCCACAGGGUGGGAGUGCCAAGGGAACGAAGAUUCCGGAGGUGACAGCCUAGGGUAGUGCGGGUAGCGGGAACAGUGGGCUGCCUUUGCAGCCAAGGGGAUGGACCGGGAGAGCGGGGUACUGAGGUGGGAGGUGCUCCCAGGGAAGGUGAUGGGAAGUAUGGCACUGCUCCUAACCUUCAGAAAUGUUCAUACCAAUCACUGCUGUGAUGAUGCCAAAUAGAGAAAGCAGGAAGGAUUCAUUGCAGGGUUGUUAUUUGAGCUCUGGUAAGUUCUCCCUGUGAAGAGACAAAGAAGAGAAAUAAAAUGAUAGCUCAGUCUGCCCCAUCCCAUUGAAAAUUCAAUCCUCACUGUUGUCUCCUGCAGAUCCAGGCUUAUCACAAUCCAGGGAAUUUCCCUGAAUUUAUUCUUGCAGAGACAUCAGCUUCUUUGGGAGUGAUUUGGGAUCAGGGUAGUUUUCCCAGUCCUCUUUUUGUCUGUUCCUUUCCACGCCAAAGAGCUUGUCUGGCUGCUGAUGUGAGCCUGGCCCUGUGCCAUCUCUUACCAGAGAUCCAGCAGCGCUCAUCUGCAUCUCACAUUCAGCAGCCCUUGAAAAGCCAGUCAGGCUCUCCUUUGGGAGCAUCCUCACCUGAGCCUCUUCCCAUCGGGCAGAUGAAGGAAGAGGUUCCCUGCUCAGGCUCCUCUUCGCCUCUCACCCCUGGAUCCAUCUAGUCCUUCCAGAAAUCUCGGCAGGACUUGGGAUCCAGCCAAGUCAGACCUGGCAGAGCCAAUUCUGUUGUUGGUGCAGGCAGUCACUGCUCCUUGUGAUGCCCUGCAGGGAGAUGCUUGUGUGGCCCUGUUAGACACUUUUUUUUCUCUCAUAGAAUCAUAAAGGUCAGAAAAGCUCUCUAAGAACAACAAGGCCGACCAUUCUCUCAGCACUGCCAAGCCCACUACUAAACUAUGCCCCCAAGUGCCACAUCCACACAGAACACCUCCAGAGAUGGUGAUCCCACCACUACCCUGAGCAGCCUGUUCCAAUGCCUGACCACACUUUCUGUGAAGAAAUUAUUCCUAAUCUCCAAUCUAAAUCUCUCCUGGCACAAGUUAAGGCCAUUUUCUCUCAUCCUGUCGCUUAUUCCCUGGGAGCAGAGCCCAACCCCCACGUGGCUCCACCCUCCUGUCAGAAGGUCCCCCCAAGCCUCCUUUUCUCCAGGCUGAACCCCCCUAACUCCUUCAGCUGCUCCUCGUCAGACUUGUGCUCCAGACCCUUCCCCAGUUCCAUUGCCUUUCUCUGGACACACUCCAGCCCCUCAAUGUCUUUCUUGUUGUGAGGGGCCCAAAACUAACACCAGGAUUUGAGGGCCCUCAGCAGUGCCCAGCACAGGGGAGCGGUCACUGCCCCGGUCCUACUGGCCGCACUAGUGCUGGUACAAACCAGGUGCCACUGGCCUUCUUGAAUCCCCCAACCCUCCUGCAAUGACUUUGUCAGCUCUAUAGCACUGGGACUCUGCUGGGCUUUCUCCUUUGCUCAGUGGUUCAAGCACUGAUGCUCUGAGUUGCUGGGAGCUUCCUACAUCCAGCUGGUCCUCUGCUCCUCCUACACAGAGGAGUGGAUGGUGGUUAGUGCUCCAGAAACUGUCUGUUGGGUUUCUCCAAUUCAUGCCAAGUUAGCACAAAAUGAUCAAAGCAGCCAGUCAAAACUCUUUAUUUUUCUCUCCAGAUCAUUGGUGACAGAGAUUUUGAUCACUUUGAAGAGAAGAGCUAAUUAGCAACUCACUGAAUUAAGUAAAAGGUGCAGCGUAUGUAUUGACUUUUUGCUGUUUUCAGGGCUGUCAUGAGGAUUGCUUAUCCCAACACAAUAAUCGUCUCCAUAGUGACUGAGGUACUUCGUAGGGGAAGAAUUGGAGACACAAAUAACAAAGACCAAAUCUAUAAUGCAAAGAGUCAUAUGCAAACAGAAUAAAUCCUAGGCUUCUGCAUGGGCCGCCUCCAACACAAUAUGGGAUGGCGUAAGGGGGAUGCCAAAAGUGGAGAAGGGUGGGAAGGACCUGGGCCGGGCUAGGGGCUGAGUGGCUUGGUGCAAGGACCAGCCAGAAUCUCUUCCAGGGAGUUCAGGUGUUGUUCCUGCAAGAUAUCUUGCUCAGCAACUACCACAGGCCUCCUUAACAGCAUGGUAGUUUUAAAGCUAGCCCUGGAUGUGAAGAAAUAGCAGAGUGUUUGGAAGAUAAACAGGAAUUGCAUCUUCCCUUCACCACUGCUGUCAGAUCAUACCUGACUUCAGGUGAGUGUUCCACUAGGCCUUUCCUUUAUUCUGGCUGUGAAUCCUGUUCUUAUAAUCCUGAAACUCAGUGAUCACAUACACAAGAGCAAAUUGCCUCCACCUUUCAGCAUCCCCUGCCUGUUGACUCCUGAAUUAGAGGCACUGCAGAGGAAUGUGCCCAGAGCAGCCUGGCUCACAGCCCCUUGGCAGUGCUGCAGGCUCCAAACAGCUCUUACAUCCCAGCCUUAUGGAGCCCAUUAACCACAAAGUGUGAAGAACAGGUUGGACAACCAGCCACCAGGGCUGGCCUGGAUGUAUUUAUCCUCUGUAAGUGCAGAGAGGGGGAUACUUUUACCUCUAAGUUGUCCACACCCCUGUAACAACCUAUUUUACAACCUCUGCUCAACACGUCCUUGUUUUCUACACCACAUUUCUGUCUUUAUCUUUGUAUAGAGAGCAGAGUAAAUCUGGCUGGGGGGAGAGGAUUUCCCUGUGCAGCAGUCCAGCACAAGCCUAAGGUCCCAGCUCAGCAGGAGACUGGUUUGCUGCCAUGGCUGGGUCCCAGCACCAGUGUGUCACUGUAUGCCCCAAUACGCAUGCAGGGCUCCCCUCAACCCCCUACAGUCACCAUGGAGCAUCAUAGCAAGCGAGAACUGGGCAUGUGUCUCCAACCACAAAUGCUGUACCAGGCACAGAAGGAUCGCAGGUCCAGGUUACAGAGAUCACAGCAUCACCCAGCAUCUCCCUGGCCACUGUGCAGAGCAUCUACUGAGGACUGAGAGCAAAUACAACACAGCAUGAGAUUUUGGGCAAGACAGAUGGUUCAGGCAUGAUUUCCUGCAAAUCUUACCUUUGGCACAGCCAGGGCUUCCAGGGAUUCCUUUCCCCUCAACUGUCAGGAAGGACAGCGCUGAGGCCAUGCUGAGGUGGACAGAGUGGUGCUCCCCAUGCUGCCAGCCCUGCUGCAGUGCAUGUGGCUAAUGCUGAGUACCAGGCAUUGUGUUUUGCUGGAGCUGGGCCAGAAAGGAAGAAAAAAACCCAUAAAAUCAUGGAAUCAUUAAAGUUGGAAAAGGCCUCUAAGUCCAGCUAUUAACCCAGCGCUGCCAAGCCCAUCACUAACUGAUGUCCCCAGCUGCCACAUCCAUGCACUUUUUGAACACUGAUAUGAAGCUCAAGGAACCCCUUGGCCAAGUUACUUCACUCCUGCCUCAGUUUCCUCUCUGCGUGAACUCUCACCAGGUGCCUUCCAGGGGCUGGAGAGCUCCAAACUGGAAGCACUGCCUGGGGAUGAGCCAUGCUGGGGUGAUGAGCCUGGCACACAGAGCAAACCCUGUGUCCCUGCACACCCCUCCUGGGAAGGAGGGCAGGCUGAGGGGAGCCCUGGUGUUUCCAGAGGAAGUUUUCCCUGCACAGAUCCAGCAAGGCUGCGGUGCUAGCGGUUCUCUGCAUGUUCAUGCAUCUGUGGUGUAAAUUGCCUGCCAGACACCCAGGCAUGGGGCACAGAAAGGCUCUGGAGAGCAGACUGGGAACAGGAAAAUGGAGCCUUGUUUUAACCCUGCUGCCUUUUGCAGAGGCUCCUUUCCGAUGGGAACACCAGCUCCCCUGUGCCCGGAGCAGUGAGUGGGUAACAGCACCCCUUGAGGAGGGGAGGAGGAAGCUGCCAGCUACUCGCCAGGCUGCUCACCCCAUGGGAGCAAACUGCUGUGGGUUCUGCUGGGAAAGAAGCACUAAUGGAGUUCCCCAGAGUCCCAGCACAAAUUUGGUUCCUGGUCUGGAGAGACCAGUGACAUGACGGCCACUGCCCAUCACCAGGUGCUCCAGAGGAAGCUGUGGGCACCCCAUGUUACUUGAUGGGGAAAAUCUGCAUGCGUCUUUGGGUUUCCUCUGGAGCCAUGAGCAGCACAGGAAUCAGUCACCAGCGGACAAGCACAAACACAGCUGCAAAUGACAACCCUACUGCUGGGGAAAGCAGACGGAGUAAGAGCAACACCGAGCUCUUCAGAGCAAUUCAUGCUUCCAAACACUUUGAUGCACAUCACCUCACUAAUCCGACACUCUCAAUGAGCAGUUCUUGUCAGUUUGAUUUUGCGCAACUUGCAAAAUGUACCUUAUUUCACUGUAAAAUGAAAAUCCCAGUCUUCUCUUUUACUUAUUUCUUAUUUAGGAGAUAAUUCAACAAAAAAAGGCAAACCAGAUGGUUCUUCCUUCCUCUCUACCACCUGUUUCAGGCAGAGGGGAUGGCAUUUGCAUCACUCAGCUGCUCUGCAGAGCUCAAAUGGUCUCUGAGCAUUCUCACCCUGUUCCCUGAGGUCGUUGUCUCCUGUGUGGGACCACUGGCCUCACCCUACAGCAUGGCCACCCCUUGGUGGCCACUUCAUCAUCUGGGGUUAGGAUAAUAGUUUCCUUCCAUGUGGAUUAUUGUUCUUAGUGCACCUCGAAUUGUGCAGCCCUUAUAUAGGGGGCUGUUCCCUUCAAUGUUUCCUGCUGAGCUUGAGAGCCCCAAGGAUGCAAACCCCAUCAAUUCUAGGCUGUUGGUUGUUGAUUUUCACAGUGGAGCUGUUUCUGUCAACAGCACAUGCUCCUCUUGCACAUCAAAACCUACAGUUGAACUGGUGAGUGAUUCACAAUCAUCCACAGUGUAAGGAAUUGGCAAACAAACUGUGAUCCCUUAUUUAGAUUUACGGGAUAUGGACUGAAGGAGUUAGUCUUCCAACUUGAUCUGCUGGACUGCUUUGGUCAGCUCUUGGAAUGCAGCUGAGCAGGGGCCUUGGUGGCACCAGCUCAGCCGCUGUUGGCCUUGCACAGGAGAGGGGGUUUGUCACCAUGUCACCUUUCAAACCCAGUGUUGGGUGAGGUGACCUUAGUUGUGAAUGCUGAUUAAACUCCAGACGAGGAGGAGCAAAAGCCACAUCUCCAGCAGAUGAUGUCUGUUGUUUUUCCCCAGGAAUGGAGAACACAACUUCAUCUUGAGGGCUUUUCCUUAGGAGAAGCCACUCCAGUGCUUGUGCUCUUGAACUUCUGAGGUGAUUGAAAAUUGCAUUCUUAGAAAUGAGAAGAGGAAUUUAAAAAGUCUGAAGACUACUCAGUUCAAAAUAACUCCUGUUUUUGAGAGCCUGGACUUUGACUUGGGAACCCUUCAUAGCACCACAGGCCAUGUCGUCUGGCUGGAAAAGUGGAUGGUUUAGCCAGGUGAGCUCAGGUCAGGCUAUACCAAACAAGUUCUUGAGCAUGUCAGAGCAACCACACCUCACAGAACUUGCCUGGCUCUUCAGAUGCAGGAGGUAUUUAUCCCAGCUUUUGCCAGACUUCACAAGACUCCUGCAUGCUUCUACCCUCACGUGCCAUGGCCUGUGUGACUUGAUACCUUAAAACAGUCUCCACUACUGAUGUACCACUGGGCUUCCAACUCGAUGCUUCAGGAACAAAGCUGUCAGCUCAGGCCAAAACUGGUAAUUGGAAAACCGGAAAACCAGAAAGGAAAGGGAUGAAUGGGAACCUGAGACAGGAACAAGAGAAGAGGCAGUGAGGAGAGAGAUGCUGGAUGAUGGUAAAGAAAGAAAGCAGAAUAGGAACCAAGCAUGGAGGCCUCCAGCCAAGCCACCCCAUGCUUCUCUCAGCCUGUCAGUGUUUGGGUUUCUCUAAACUUAGAAAAUUCCCACAAAAAGAUUUUUUUAUCUUAUCACCAAGGCUUCCAAGUGCAACCCAAACUAAGAGACAUUACAUAGAAUAAAUGCUUAAACAGUAAACCCACAGAAAUCACAAGCAAAUGGUGCGUUUGUUAUUUCUAUAUUUACCCCGGGAGCUCCAGUGAGGAUUGGAGGUACCAGUGGGAGAGGAACCACCAGGAAUCAAGGGGAACUUGGUAAAGCUGUGAGGAAAGCAGGAAGGAGAGGACCACAUGAGUGCAGGACUCAUGAGAAAAGCAGGUUCAGGUUCCUGACUCUGGUCCUACAACACCGGAGUAACAUGGAGGGGCCAUAACCUGAAUUCUGACUCAGCAUCCCCUUUAGUGAUUUCAUUUCAAUCUGGGAUUAGUUUUCUGUUUCUUCUAGGGUCAAAAUGUCAGUGUUUUGUCAUUUGCUUGGUGCUAAGUGGAUCCUUCAAUAUCGAGUGCUUCACUCCACCCAAACUCUCCAUUUCCUCACGAAAUGAGGAACAACGCUCUCAGGCACACGUUGGGAUUGUUGAGAUGCCCUGUGCAGGGCCAGGACUCAGUGGUCCUUAUGAGUCCUUUCCCACUCAGAAGAUUCUACAAUUCUGUAAUUCUAAGCUGAGCAUUUGAACUUCGCAGCAGACAAGCCUUUGGCCAGAUUCUGUCAUCUUUACCAAUUUUCAUAGCACUUCCAGUCCAGUAAAAUGUGCCUCCUUGGCAAGGCUCUGCUGGGGCACAUCUCCUGUUCCAGGUCCCACUGAGCUACAUGUGAUCUGCAGCAGAUGGCAUGUCGCUGGUCUAACCAGGUUGUCACAUCCCCAUGGGAGCUUUCUGGGUGCCGAGAGGGCUGCAGUGUCAGUGUGGGGGCCCAACCUCUGCAUCCCAGGAGCUGGUGGCAGAGUGGGGAAGUGAAGGAUGAUGAAUGGCAACAAAAGGAUGAGCUGACAUGCCUCCUAUCAUCCUUUUGCCACCUCCCUCCAGAUGUCUCAGCUCCCCUGAUGCUUGUCCUGCUUCCUGGGCCCUGGAUGUCACAGCUGCCCAGAGUGGGUCUGAAGAGAAGCCUACAGAAGUUCUGACUCAUCAGACAUCCCACCACAGAGGUGAUGGCUUCCUCUCCUGACUCACUCACUGGGAAGCAUCUGGGGCUGCACAGCUCAUAUGCACACCCAGCCUUGAGUGGCCCCAAAACUCAAGAGGCAAGACCUGAGAUGUGCAGCCCAGGCUGGAUCAGUGAGCAGCUUUCUGGCAUCACUGGCCUGGUGCAGCCUUCCCAAAGGCCUAAUGGAGCAGCACCCUUCCCUGCUUCCUGGGGGAGAUCUUCCCUAUCCCCCUCUGUCAGCAGCUGUCAGCCAUUCAAAGCUGAGCCCUCCAGGGAGAAGUGAGGGAUGGGACCUGUAUUUUGCAACCCACAGGAGCCCAGCUGAGGAGUGAUGCAGUGGGAAUGGGUUUGCUACUACCUCAUUUCCCUCCCAUUCAUUUACUGGGGAACAGGAAACAUAUUCCACUCCAUUUGGGCAACUUCCCCUGCCAUGCCUAGGUGCCAGAAAGUUUGGCCAUGGGAGACCAGUCCUCAGUGCUGUGUUGCUGGGCUGGUGCCAUGAGCAGAGCAGCCUUUGCUCGCAGCCCCUUUUCCCUCAGUUGCUGGCCCUCGUGCACUGAGAUGCAUUGGGGCGCCUUGACAGAACAUGCAACAGGUAUCCUGAGAGGAAGUUCAGCAUCACUGGGGAAAUCUCUGUGCUAGGUUAUUCCAGCACAGCCAGGCCCAUGGCCCAGGACCCGGGCCCAGCUCAGCCUGUGGACGUGGCAGUGCCAGCCACCACCUGGACCAGGGCUGUGCAGCGCUGCCAGGGGCUGCAAGGAGAGAAAAGGACCAGGACCUGAAAGUGUUGGAGCAAGAAUAUUGUCGUUCCUCUGGGUAUCAGGGACACAAGGACUUGUCAAAACCUCGCCUGUGCCCUUGUGCUGGGAGCCCAUGUGGCCCAGCGAGGGCAGGGUUGGUCUGGCAGGCAGAGUGCAGCACUUCCAGGGAUUCCUCCCAAGCAUCAUGCUCAGAUUCGUGCAGCCUAAACCCAUCUGCAGUGAGGGGGCGGAGAGCCUUCAGCACAAGUAGGAAGCACUGUCAAGAAAAGCCUCAUCAGCGUUGUUACGCCAGUGCAAUUAUGUCAGAAACACAAAAAGGCAUCGCCACCUGCAAAAGAGCGGGAGCCAGCUCUGACAGCCUCGGAGGUCCCACCCACACCACCAGUCCUCUGAGAGACAGGCAUGGAGCUCCUGCCGCCUCUCCUUGUGCUCGCCCCGUGACCCAGCCUCAACCCCUGGGGCCGGUUGGACCCCCCACAGCUGACACAGAGGGUUUCUCCACUCACCCCCCUGCCAGCACUGCUCCAGUUCCUCAGGACCACCCCAGCCUACAGCUCCUGUCAGCCCCCUUGGCCCCAGCAUGAGCCCAUAGCCAGGGAGAAGAUGUGUUUCCUGCUCCAUCAGCUGAGCCAUGAUGGGGUUGGGCACUGACCCAGACUCGAGUCCUGUCCCGUGAGCCCUCCUUGUAGCUUCAAACCAGUGGGAGACAAGUCCUGCAGCCCAGAGACAGUGCCAACUGUCUCUGAAGAACAUCAGUCGCUGCUUGGUGUUACCUGCUUCCUGCCUUCCCUGCCUGUUGAUCCGUGUAAGCUCCUGCUGGUGACUCUGGAAAAUAAAGGACAACACUGAACAGUCCCAUAUCCAUGCCAAGGGGAGGUCUUGCCUGAGCUCCGGGUGGUCCAGAGGAAUGCAAACUUGCUUCUCGACACUUCUACUUUCCCUAGUCCAUCCUGGUGAUCCAAGCAGGCUGCAGGCAGCGUGUUGACAUAGGCAGGCUCCGGGAUCCCAUCCCUAAACAAUAACCAGUGCUCCUUUCUCGUCUGGCUGGCAAAGCACUACCCACCAGUGUCUGAAGCACUGCCCAGCCACCUAUACCCUCUCCAUGGAGGGUCUGCCAACAACCCCAGCAGCUGGGGUGUCCUGGGAUACCCGGUGAGUACACUGGGACACUUCACUUCCCCCACGCCAUGGAGAUUUCAAAUCUGUACUUCACUUGACUCCUGACCUGACAGCCACAGGAGCAAUAUGUGCUCAUGCACAAAUCCAAAGGGAUAACAAUCCCUGAGGAUGAGCAAAGCCCUGAUGACAGCUGCCAUGGCCUGCAGAAUCAAUUCCUGCCAAACUGCUUAUCUCCCCAGAGAGGAUUUUCACUGGUGCUUUCCAGCAUCCCUGACCUUGCUGUUACUGCCAAGGGCUGGUGAGCUCCCGCUCAUCAUCAUCAUCACCUGGGUGCUCAUCUCUGCUCUGCCCCAGCAGAGCUGCCACAUUCCUGAUGACCACAGCUCAGCUCUUCCUGGCAUCCCUGACACUUCCGCUCUGCAUCAUCCACGGACUUAGAAGGUGACUUCAGGAGUGAGCUGAGCAUUUUUGGCUUCAGAACCCCAGCACUAGUGAGGCAGUACAGCACCAGAGACAUAGAAGUGUCAUGUUGAACUGACCCAUAUUAAAUGUUUUGGAUCUGUUUAUCAAACUACAACAGCUCUUCUCACCUUGGCAACACUUGCUGACUGCACAUCAAAAACCUCCAUCUGCUUUCCUUUUCCAGAAGUGACACCUCUGUUUUGUUCCUUGCAGUGUUCCACUUAAUGAAAAGAUCUGGUGUUUCCCUC